ACCUGAAUUGUUUGCAUUAUGCGUGGGUCUUUGGCAGAUAGAGAUGGGGAGACAGGACAUUUCCGCAGAAAGGACAAUGUGCAGGCGUGAUGCAGCAUGAUUUUUCAGGGGGACCAGAAGCCCCGGGCACAGCGGUCACCCCGGUGGAGUCAGCGGCACCAUGAGAGGCGCUACCCAGGAACAGCUCUGUGCACCUUGACUGCUCACCGGCCAAGCCCAAGUCCCUGAGCCUGCUCCUGACACCCAGUCGGCUUGCUUCCCCGCCUCAUCUUUGACUGCUCUUCCUUUCAGUCACCCCUCAUCUUCCUUCUACUUCUAUGCAGGUCCAAGCAUACUUACUGUGGCUUAUUUUGUUCCCUCUGCCUGAAAGAGGUCUCUUCACCUGUCAAACUCCCGGGUACCCUUCAGACUGAGAUGAUUGUCCCCUUGAAUGUGAAUUUCCCUGAGGCAAAACUCACCGGUUCUGCUGCUGCGUCUGUGUUCCUUCAACCCAUUCUCCACACAGGGCCAGAGCCAUCUUAGCUCCAGGCACGUCACCAGUUCACGUCCCAACGAGUUUAGAAUGAGUUCACAUUCUUUGGUGGCCACAUGCCUGCCCUACUGGCUCAUCUCUGACCUCACUCUCACCAUGCUCCUCUUCCUUCUAGCACCAUCGGCCUCCUGGCACUUCCUGGAACUGCCUCAGGUCUUUCCUCUUGCCUCAGGUCCUUUGCACAAAUGAUUCCCUCCUCUCUUUCCCUGGAAUUCUCACUGUGUAUCUUCCAGAUCUCUGCUUAAAUGUCGUCUCCUCAGACAGGCCUUCCACACCUUCCUCUCCAAAAGAGGUUCUCACCAUUGUCUCAUUAUAACAAGGCUAGUCUAAGUCCAUAUAUGCUGCUAUAACAAAACACAUAGAGGGGGCAGCUUGUAAACAACAGAGAUGUAUUUCUCACUGUUCUGCAGGCUGGGAAGUCCAAGGUAAAUGUACUGGCUAAUCUAACGUCUGGUGAAGACCCACUUCCUGGUUCAUAGGUGGUGCCUUCUCACUUCAUUGUCACAUGAUAGAAGGGGUGAGGGAGUUCUCUGGGUCCCUUUUAUAAGGGUGCUAAUCCCAUUCAAGAAGGCUCCACAUUCAUGACCUAAUCACCUCCUAAAGCCCCACCUUCUAAUACCAUGACCAUAUGGUUUUUGCUGUGUCCCCACCCAAAUCUCUUCCUGAAUUAUAGCCCCCACAAUUCCCAUGUGUCAUGGGAGGGACCAGGUAGGAGGUAAUUGAAUCAUGGGGGUGGGUCUUUCUAGUGCUGUUCUCGUGAUAGUGAAUAAGUCUCACGAGAUCUGAUGGUUUUAUAAAGGGGAGUUUCCCGCACAAGUUCUCUUCUCUUGUCCACUGCCAUGUGAGAAGUGUCUUUCACCUUCCACCGUGAUUAUGAGGCCUCCCCAG
rnacentral:lncRNA from 1 species